UAACUGAUUUAAACUUGUAAGAUUGAAUAUUGAGAGAAAAAUGAAAAGAACCUCGGUUAUAAUUGACAAAAAAAAAAAAAAAAAACUCGGUUAUCUGAUUAGCGGCACGAUCUAAUAAUUGUGGCAGGACAAUCCCGUUGAUGGUGAUGGUCUUUCGCAUGUCAAAGCAAAGAUUUGACACUUGUUUCCAUGUAUCCCCCCAUU